rnacentral:lncRNA from 1 species
UGGACUCCAAUCCUGUUGUACUUUGUCUGGCUUCCCAGGCCUUCUUUUGAAAUCUUGGCAGGACCCUCCAUAAGUCCCAAACUCCAGCAUCCUACAUUUAUACAGCACCAGAACCGCAUGAUUGGCACCAAGGUCUGCUACCAUGUUGAGCCAUAGCCAAGCCUCCAGGGAUCCUGGCUGCAGCAGCCUCUGAGUGUUUGAGCAGCUGAGCCUGUUUUUUAAUUAGUUCCUUGUUAGGGAUUAAUGAGUGGCAACUGAAGCUUGGUGGGGUGUGACUGAAAGAGGUGGGACAUUGGGGGCAAGGCCUUGGGGUAUAUAUUUUAUAUCUUGUGAGUGGAGUUCCCUCCCCUCCCUGUUCAUCGUGUGAGCUGCUUCACUCUGCCACACUCUUCCACCAUGAUUUCCUAAACUUUCUUGGCCCCCUUGUGUAAGAAAGAUGCCCCUCUGGUCUCUUCAGAAAAUUCUCACCUUGACUCCAGGGAACUUGAGAUAGGUGUGGUCUUGCCAGAUUUUGAGAUGCCUUCAAGCCAUCUUUCUUACUGUCUCUGGUCAAAGUCUUUAGCAUAUUUGUAGUGGUGCUACUGACUUCAACAACUGCAACUUCCUUAGUCCCAGUUUUGGAGUCUGUCAAGUUCAGUUUUUUCAAAUCUGCUCUGCUCUUUGCUCCUGAAUAUUAUAAUAAAUUUGGCUGAAAGGUGCCAGCAAUAUGUAUGCCACUACCUGAAUGCUAUGCCACCUAGAGAUUUCCUCCACCACAUAAAGAAGCCAAUCACUUCUGGGUGGUGGCUCAGUGAUUGAGAGCUCACCUAGCAUGUGUGAGGCACUUGGUUUG